GCGCCAGUAGCUCAGUUGGAUAGAGCAUCGGUCUUCUAAACCGACGGUCAAGGGUUCGAUUCCUUUCUGGCGCGCCA
rnacentral:tRNA from 1 species